rnacentral:rRNA from 1 species
AUUGAACGCUGGCGGCAGGCCUAACACAUGCAAGUCGAACGGUAACAGAAAGCAGCUUGCUGCUUUGCUGACGAGUGGCGGACGGGUGAGUAAUGUCUGUGAAACUGCCUGAUGGAGGGGGAUAACUACUGGAAACGGUAGCUAAUACCGCAUAACGUCGCAAGACCAAAGAGGGGGACCUUCGGGCCUCUUGCCCUCGGAUGUGCCCAGAUGGGAUUAGCUAGUAGGUGGGGUAACGGCUCACCUAGGCGACGAUCCCUAGCUGGUCUGAGAGGAUGACCAGCCACACUGGAACUGAGACACGGUCCAGACUCCUACGGGAGGCAGCAGUGGGGAAUAUUGGACAAUGGGCGCAAGCCUGAUGCAGCCAUGCCGCGUGUAUGAAGAAGGCCUUCGGGUUGUAAAGUACUUUCAGCGGGGAGGAAGGGAGUAAAGUUAAUACCUUUGCUCAUUGACGUUACCCGCAGAAGAAGCACCGGCUAACUCCGUG